GUCCCCCGGCAGACUGUCGAGUAGCUGGGGAAACAGGAUGGCUGGAUGACGGGGAGGAGGUAUCAUAGCCCCCGGUACACUACCAACCUGUUCAUGUGGCUAACUACUUUUCCCCACUCAAUGACACACUCGCAGGAGAUCAGACUCUAGGAAUUGGCGAUUCUGUUUUAAGACAUGUUGGCUAAGGGUAAAUGCAAAUUCAGUAAAAUAUUAAAAAUCAACAAAAAUCGACUUAAAUGUUAAAAAAGUCACAAAGAAAGAACAAUACAGUAUCCUCAUGAGCACCGAAGAGUAAAACAUAAACAUUAGGUCUCUCUCUUCCGAGUCUCUGUUAGUACAUGAAUUAAUAAUUGAUCAACAAAUCGAUUUACUCUGCCUUACAGAAACCUGGUUACAGCAGGAUGAUUAUGUUAGUUUAAAUGAAUCAACACUCCUGAGUCUCAUUUACCAUCAAAAUCCUCGAGGCACAGGCUGGGGGAAGGUAUGCCUGCAAUUUUCCACACCAGCUUAUUAAUUAACCAAAGACCAAGACAUACUUUUAACUCAUUUGAAAGCCUGAUGCUUAGCCUUGUCCACCUCAGCUGUAAAACUCAAAAAAACAGUCGUAUUUGUUAUCUUCUAUUGUCCACCUGGGCCUUACACAGAGUUUCUGUCUGAUUUUUCUGAGUUUUUAACUGAUUUAGUGCUCUGUUCAAAUAAAAUAAUUAUUAUGGGUGAUAUCCAUGUAAAUGUUACAAAUGACAGUCUCAAUCAACGUGGUAUUUAAUAUUUUAUUAGAUUCAAUUGGCUUCCCUCAAAAGGUGAAAAAAUUGACGAAAAGCACCGUUGAGCAAAGUAUUCCUUUAACGUCAACUAGGAAUGACUUAAUGAAUUUAUUCACAAAUCAAAUUUUAACAAUUAGAGAAAAAAUUACUCAUAAUGAUCUCACAGAUCUAACAUUAUCUACACAUACUUUGAGUACCAUUUGUAUUUAUUUAGUCUUUUUUUCCAAUUGACCUUUCUGAGUUAACAUAAGUAAUUACUUCCUCCAAACCAUCAACAUGUCUUAUAGACCCCAUUCUUACAAGACUGCUGAAAGACUGUUGCCUAUGUACUUCAGGCCUUCAAGCUGGCAGUAGUUAAACUUAAAAAGCCGUUACUUAAAAAGCCAUCUCUUGACCCUGUGGUUUUAGAUGUUUAUAGGCCAAUUUCUAACCUUUCAUUUCAAAAAUUGUCAAACAGCUAAUAGAUCAUAUGCAGACAAAUGGCUUAUUUGAAGAGUUUCAAUCAGGUUUCAGAGCUCAUCAAAAUACAGAAACGCCUUUAGAUAAGUCCCAAAAAAUUGAUUCUGAUCAUCUGGACGUAGCAUCUCAGUGGGAGAAACGUUUCGUCACUCAUCCAAGUGACAUCUUCAGUUUCAGAUGACCCAACCUCAUAAACAGUACCUUUGCACAAUGACUGAAACCAGCCCACUGAAUGAAAAAAAUGGGCUGUGAGGUCAGCUCCUGGAUUAUUACUAUCCAAACUGGCAUGACCAAAGAUCAACAACCGCUGAACAAAGACCAUCGCUGAACCAAUUUUACAAUGCUGUGAUUGCAGCCAUUUGCUAACUCACUUUUAGUGAAUUUUACAAAUGAUCUUCUUGGCCCCUGACAGUAGUCAGUCUAGCUUAUCCUGCUAGACCUCAGCGUUCGAUAAUGUUGACCAUAAUAUUCUAUUAGAGCGAUUAGAACAUGCUGUAGGUAUUACAGGUACUGCACUGAAGUGGCAUGUAUCAUAUCGAUCAAAUAGCAUCCAAUUGUUCUGUAGUUUCUGUGCCAGGACCAGUUUACAUGCUUCCCUUAGGCAGUAUCAUCAGAAGGCAUAGGAUGAAUUUUCACUGCUAUGCAGAUGACACCCAACUUUAUCUAUGCAUGAAGCCAGAUAACACACCAAUUAGUUUGAUGUGUGUUAGAAAAAUGUCUUAAAGGCAUACAGACCUGGAUGACCUCCAAUUUUCUGUUUCUAAAUUCACAGAAAACUGAGGUUAUUGUACUCGGCCCUAAAAUUCCUAGAAAUAUGGUAUCUAACCAGAUACUUACUCUGGAUGGCAUUGCUUUGGCCUCCAGUAACACUGUGAGGAACCGUGGAGUCAUUUUUAACUAGGAUAUUUCCCUUAAUGUACAUUUUAAACAAAUAUGUAGGACUGCUUUUUUUCCACUUGCACAGUAUCUCUAAAAUUAGAAAUAUCCUGUCUCAGAGUGAUGCUGAAAAACUAGUUGAUGCAUUUAUUACUUUUAGGCUGGAUUAGUGUAAUUCAUUAUUAUCAGGAAGUCCUAAAAACUUCCUGAAAAGCCUUCAGUUAAUCUAAACUGCUGCAGCAAGAGUACUGACAGGGACUAAAAGAGAGAGCAUAUUUCUCCUAUACUGGCUUCCCUUCAUUGGCUCCCUGUUAAAUCCAGAAUUGAAUUAAAAAAUCCUGCUCCUCACAUACAAGGUCUUAAAUAAUCAGGCCCCAUCUUAUCUUAAUGAUGUCAUAGUAUUGUAUCCUUGCAUUAGAGCACUUCGCUCUCAGACCACAGGCUUACUUGUGGUUCCUAGAGUAUUUAAAAGGUGAAUGGGAGCCUUCAGUUUUCAGGCCUUUCUUCUGUGGAAUAUGGGAGACAGACACUAUCUCUACUUUUAAGAUUAGGCUUAAAACUCCUUUUUGCUAAAGCAUAUAGUUAGGGCUGGAUCAGGUGACUCUGAAUCCUCCCUUAGCUAUCCUGCAACAGGUGUAAGCUGCUCUCUUCCACAGCAUGUCUUUUAUCCUGUUUUCCUUCUCUCACCCCACCUGGUCGCGGUCCCUGAGCCUGGAUCUGGUGGAGGUUUCUUCCUGUUAGAAGGGAGUUUUUCCUUCCCACUGUCACCACUUUGCUUGAUCAUAGGGGGUCAUUGUAUUGUUGGGGUUUUUUCUCUGUAUGUAUUAGGGUCUACCUUAAAAUAUAAAGCACCUUAAGGCGACUGUUGUUGCGAUUUCGUUCUGUAUAAAUAAAAUUGAAUUGAAUUAAAAGAAUUUGUUCAUCUUGAGUGCAAAUAGCAACAAGGAAAAGUAUCAUUUUGAUGCAUUGAUUACAUAUAUUUGUUUUACCGUUUAUUUCACUGCUGGUUUCUUACAGGUGAACGUUCUUGCACUGUGUAUCUGUGCACGUGAAGCUUAUCAGUCAAUGAAAGAGAGAAAUGUGGACGAUGGGCACAUCAUAAACAUAAACAGGUGCAGUUUUAUUUUACUGAUGGACAGUGAUGGGUAUGCUUGUGCAGUUUACACAAACAUCUUAUAAUUCAGUCAUUCUUUUGGCAACUCUGCACAAUGGACUUUUCUCACAGCACACAUUGUAUCUCCCCCUUUAAGAACCCUACUAUAGCCAAUGAGUGUUUUUAUUACUGGUAGGUCCAAUAAAAAUAAAUACCAGACUGCUGUGUCAAUAACAAUAUAUUAGAACCAAAAGGGACAUCUUCAUAUUGCUUUCAUUGGCCAGCUAGCAGUUCAGAACUAAAAGAUUUUUGAGUUUACUAUGAAAAUCAUCAAGAAAAAUGAAACCAAAUCUAAUUGCCAGAACCGAGAAAUGUUUUGCUUUUUUUAAAUCUCAAAACACAAGUACCUUCCUGGUUAUACAUUAUAUAGAAACCUUUAAAUUACAGCACAACAGCAUAGUGAUGCAGUGGUUAACACUGUUAUCUCACAACUUAUCUCACAAAUCCAGCAUCUGGCCAGUGUCUUUCUCUGUGUAGUUUGCAUCUUCUCCCUGUGUCUGCAGGAGUUCUCACCUUCCCACAUAGUCCAAAGACAUGCAGUAAGUUGGGUUAGUUUAGUUGAACUGUGUCUGUGUCUCUGUGUCCUGUGACAGACUUGGGACCUGUCUGUGCUGUACCCGAGGCUCCUGGACCCUGAAUUAGAUAAGCAAAAGAAAACAGGUGGAUGUUAAACGAUAUAGAAACUGUUGCCAUUGUUGUUAUAACACUUGUAAAUAUCCUCUGUUGCAGUGUGUGCGGCCAUCAAGUGUUUCCUAAUGCUGACGGACAUUUCUACACCGCCACCAAGUAUGCUGUAACUGCGCUGACUGAGGGCCUGAGGCAGGAGCUGCGUGCAGAAAACACUCAUAUCCGGGCCACAGUAAGCUUUUGAAAGACACUGUAACCAGCUCCAAAGUACCUUUAACACUAAUGUCAGCUGUUAUGAGAUGCACACAGAGUACUUCUUGAAGAAUCCUCAUUAAUAAUGUCAUUUUGCAGAGCAUUUCUCCUGGCGUUGUGAAGACAGAAUUUGCAUACCGCGUCUACAGAGACAAUUCUGAUAAAGCAGCUGCUGUAUACACUAAAAAUAAGUCUCUGGAAGCAAAAGACCUCGUCCAUGCCGUCACAUAUGUGCUCAGUGCCCCUCCUCAUGUUCAGGUUUGAGAUUUUCUCUCAUUUUCCUCUUUUUUGUGACCUUUUGAACUUUUCUAUUUUCCAUUUUAAAUAUCAGCAGUUUAGUCAUAAGAUAACAUUCAUCUAUCUUUUCUUUCAGAUUGGGGAGAUUUUGCUUGAAAGUCUGUAGCAGGUGUCAUGCAACUUGGCCUUGAGACCCAUCCCAAUCUUUACAUCAAAGUAGUGUGACCGGCUCUCCUUACUUCUCAACACUGUCAGAUUGUAAUCAAUUCACAGAAGGAUAAAAUAAAGGAAACUCAUCCAGCUGUU
ensembl:lncRNA